UCCUAAUGAUGAUCCCUGCACGCGUCUUACGCCAUGUGUUAAAGCCAGAACCUGAAAAGGUGGACCCACUGGCUUUACCUUGGCAAUAAGGGGAAGACCUGUUGGGGUUACCAACAGUCUGAUUGGAA
ensembl:snoRNA SNORD22 Small nucleolar RNA SNORD22